GGGGGCGGCACACACUGCAUCUUUGUCCCCAGGCAACCCCGCCACCCCCGAGUCACAGGACUCAGCCUGCCCCAGGAAGUCAUCGAGUCCAACCCCCUGCCCUUAAAGAAGGGAACAUUGAGGCCCGGAGCAGGCAGGGUCCCUGGCUGGCCCAGGACUGCGAGGCAGUGGCCCCGAGCAGGAGGGAGCCCAGGCAGGCAUCAGGGGACAGCCAGCCACUCCCUGCCCCUCCCCAGCAGGCACUGCCCACCCAAGUGCCUCCUUAGUGAUGGCAGACGGGUGAUAAGCAAACUGGCAGAUUCCAGGAGGACAAAUCCAGGAGGGCCAGGCAGGUGUCCAUGGGCUGGGGGUGUCACCGAGGUCAGAGCCAUCGUAAGACGAAGGAGGUCACAUAUGUCCCAGGAGACCUGUGCUCCAUCCUCCCUCCUAAAGGGCCAAGCCCGGGCUGGCUCUUGGGCCUCUGUCCUCAGGGAUCAAUACCCUUCCAGGCAUCAGUGGCCCCGCCUAGGUGCUAGGGCCUCUGGUCAGUGAGAUGAGGGCCAGAUACGGUCAUCCCAAGUCACCCAGCCCCUGCCCAUCUGAGCCCAACUACCCUGCCCUGGACCACGGCCCCGGCAGCCCCAGACACAGGGUGAAGGGAGAAGACAGGAGAGGCCGGCGCCCUGGGGGCUGGAGGGGGGGCGGGGGGAGCAGGCUGUGCCCCAGCCCCUCCGCGUGCNNCGCCUCUGCGGCCUGCUGGCUGGUGGCAGCAAUCGAUAGCAGCAUUAACGCCGCUCGGGCUCUAGUCCCUCCCCCUCCCAGCUCCGGAUCGGGCUCUGCGCGUGGGGCGGGCAGGUCAAUUAGAAGUCAGCUCCCUCUGACACCGCCCGGCCUGCGUUCAGGGCUGGCGCUCUGGCUAAGUCGCUCUGCUUUUGUCUCCAUCCCGCGUCUUGGGGCGGGGGGAACCGACCCUCAGAGGUUCUGUUCGUCUCUGGCCUUCUCUUUGAAUUGCUCGGAUGGGUCUUUUUCUGUCCUUCCUCACGGACGACCCUCCCCCAGGUCCUGGGACCUGCUGAGCUCGGGACCGGAGGACGUGACAUGUCACUCACUGAACAGGUGCUGCACGCAGAACACUGGUUUGUCAGCCACAGGAACUGAAAGUGGGGGUACCCAAGGGGGCCUGGCACACAGGGUAACAACUCCGUCCUCAGACCCAUUCUAACAUCCAGUCCCCAGCCGGCUCCAAAUCUGCCCCGUACCUGGCUCCUCUUCUCCUUCAGACUCUGGGGAAGCUGAUGCCCUGGUCUCAGUGGACCACUGACCACAGGGCCUAUGGGCCCUACUCACGGAAGGGGAGGACAUAAGACAUGUUCUCGCG
rnacentral:lncRNA from 1 species